ACCCAGAUUCUUUACCCCUUGGAUCUAAAUAUUGGUCUGAGAGGCUAAAGAAAGGAGGAAAAAUAAAAUUGAAGUAGAUUGGAGUCUUUAGUGACAUACAAGUUCAUUUCAAACAUAU
rnacentral:snoRNA from 1 species